rnacentral:rRNA from 1 species
AUUGAACUCUGGCGGCAGGCCUAACACAUGCAAGUCGAGCGAGCGGCGGACGGGUGAGUAAUGUCUGGGAACCUGCCUGCUGGAGGGGGAUCACUACUGGAAACGGUAGCUAAUCCCGCAUACCAUCAGCUUUCCCCAGAUGGGCUUAGCUGGUCGGGGGGGUAACGGCUCACCUAGGCGACGAUCCCUAGCUGGUCUGAGAGGAUGACCAGCCACACUGGAACUGAGACACGGUCCAGACUCCUACGGGAGGCAGCAGUGGGGAAUAUUGCACAAUGGGCGCAAGCCUGAUGCAGCCAUGCCGCGUGUAUGAAGAAGGCCUUCGGGUUGUAAAGUACUUGCAGCGGGGAGGCGGUACCCGAAGAAGAAGCACCGGCUAACUCCGUGCCAGCAGCCGCGGUAAUAC